GCCCAUGUGGCGAAAUUGGUAAACGCGGCGGUCUUGAAAACCGUAGCUGUCGAGGCAAUGCGGGUUCGAAUCCCGCCAUGGGCA
rnacentral:tRNA from 1 species